GACGAACGCUGGCGGCGUGCUUAACACAUGCAAGUCGAACGGAAAGGCCCUGCUUUUGUGGGGUGCUCGAGUGGCGAACGGGUGAGUAACACGUGAGUAACCUGCCCUUGACUUUGGGAUAACUUCAGGAAACUGGGGCUAAUACCGGAUAGGAGCUCCUGCUGCAUGGUGGGGGUUGGAAAGUUUCGGCGGUUGGGGAUGGACUCGCGGCUUAUCAGCUUGUUGGUGGGGUAGUGGCUUACCAAGGCUUUGACGGGUAGCCGGCCUGAGAGGGUGAACGGCGACAUUGGGACUGAGAUACGGCCCAGACUCCUACGGGAGGCAGCAGUGGGGAAUAUUGCACAAUGGGCGGAAGCCUGAUGCAGCAACGCCGCGUGCGGGAUGACGGCCUUCGGGUUGUAAACCGCUUUCGCCUGUGACGAAGCGUGAGUGACGGUAAUGGGUAAAGAAGCACCGGCUAACUACGUG
rnacentral:rRNA from 1 species